GCCGCCUUAGCUCAGUCGGUCAGAGCGACGCACUCGUAAUGCGUAGGUCAUCGGUUCGAUUCCGAUAGGCGGCU
rnacentral:tRNA from 2 species